UAUGUUCCGCUCUAUAUUCUUGUGACAUCCACGCACUCAUGCAUGCACACAAUGAUUUCCUUGCAUUGUCAGAAAAAUACUCAAGAGACUUACAUAAGCGUGAAUGCAAGCGAAUGCAUCUGCGCACACACAUAUACCUUUAAAUUCCAUCUCAGUACUGGCAGGGAAAGUCUCCUUGAAUGAUAAUAUUCCCAUUUGAGAGGAGACCGUCUACCGGUGGAGGAGGAGGGUGACAUAUAUGGAGCGCGUGUAGACGACAGUCUGUUAAAUAUUCAUGAUUGUGCACUUGCGGCUUGACAUGUGUACGGCAGAUGCUCGCCACGGAUCUGUCUCUCUUUAUGCGAGCCGCCCACUCUUGCAGCAAGUGUCAUCUGUAUGUGUGGCAUAUUAAAGGCCUGUGGGAACUCAUUAGGGUGACAGACGCAGGGCUUACUCUCCCUCGCUUGGAUUGCCAUGUUUGUGCCAUGACGGGUUCAGAAAGUGCAGUGAGAGGGCAGAGGUGGCGUGCGGUGGGUAUCAGUGUUUUUCAGUCAAAUGUAAAUUCAUGUUCCAGUUGCGUUUGAUGUUGAUGUCGAAAGGUGUUUUGUUUCUUGAAUUUGAAUAUGUGAAUUUGACUUUGAAUAUUGUGAAAUUUGAAUAUUGAAUUGGAAUAUUGUGUUCUUUUUCAGGAGCUGAUUCUUCUGAGCCGAAUCUUACUAUAUAGCUUAAAACCUUUUUGAGUUAUUUCAAGCUG
ensembl:lncRNA